UUGAGGAACAGCCCUUCAGCUGUGGCUUGUGAGGUGGUAGGAAGUACAGAGCAGGCAGUCCUAGGAAGAAUGACUUCCAGUGGGGAAUGCACAACUACUGUGUCCUGGUGGGAGGGAACUUAGUUCAAGAAGUCUUGGAAACCAGGACCACACUGAAGCAUUGGGGAACUGCUGUAAAACCAGGCUUCUGCUGGGGUUGAAAACUACUGAAAAGGCAAUGUGUGACUGAAGACUGGCUAGUCUUUUUCUGCUUCUGGUAGAUUUUGUGCUGAAUGAAGAAAAUGGCAUGGACCAAACAGCAAGGAAACCUUUCUGCUUAUGAGCUCCAACUAUCAAACUCACAUUUGUGGCAAAGCUUCAACAGAAGGACAUAAUUGUCUGCACAUGAUGCUUUACAAGAAAGACAAGGCUGUCUGAUAAAAGGAUCCAUAUUAUCAUCUGCCAAUUUACUGCAUUUCUGUUUUUUAUUUGUGUACUCAGAGUUUCAAUAAAUGUGAGACAAAAUGACUUUGGUGACAGAAUGAC